GAGGGUAUAGCUCAGUGGUAGAGUGCAUUUUUAGCAUGCACGAGGUCUUGGGUUCAGUCCCCAGUACCUCCG
rfam:Camelus ferus unplaced genomic scaffold scaffold1533, whole genome shotgun sequence.